AUUGAACGCUGGCGGCAGGCCUAACACAUGCAAGUCGAGCGGAUGAAGGGAGCUUGCUCCUGGAUUCAGCGGCGGACGGGUGAGUAAUGCCUAGGAAUCUGCCUGGUAGUGGGGGAUAACGUCCGGAAACGGGCGCUAAUACCGCAUACGUCCUGAGGGAGAAAGUGGGGGAUCUUCGGACCUCACGCUAUCAGAUGAGCCUAGGUCGGAUUAGCUAGUUGGUGGGGUAAAGGCCUACCAAGGCGACGAUCCGUAACUGGUCUGAGAGGAUGAUCAGUCACCUUGGACUUAGACACCGUCCCGACUCCUACGGGAGGCCGGCGUUGGGAAUAUUUGACCAUGGGGGGAAGCCUUGUUCCGGCCUGGCGCGUGUGUUAAGGAAGUCCUCCGAUUGUUAAGCCCCUUUAGUUGGGGGGAAGGGGAGUUAGUUAAUUCCUUUGUUUUUUGACGUUACCAACAGAAUAAGCACCGGCUAACUUCGUG
rnacentral:rRNA from 1 species